GAUGAACGCUGGCGGCGUGCCUAAUACAUGCAAGUCGAGCGAACAGACGAGGAGCUUGCUCCUCUGAUGCUAGCGGCGGACGGGUGAGGAACAUGUGGAUAACAUACCUACAAGAAUGGGGUGACUUCGGGAAACCGGAGCUACGACCGGAAAACAUGUUGAACCGCAUGGGGCAAGAGUGGGAGACGGUAGUGCGGGGAGUUAAGGACGGACCCGGGGAGCAUUCGCUAGUUGGUAAGGUAGAGGCUUAGCAAGGCUACGAUGCGUAGCCGCCCUGAAAGGGUGAUCGGCCACCCUGUAUCUGAGACACGGCACAGACACCGACGCGAGGACGCAGUCGGGAAUCUUCCGCGAUGCGCGAAAGCCUGACGGAGCACCGCCGCGUGAGUGAAGAUGGUCUUCGGCUCGUUGAACUCUGUUAGUCUUGAAGAACUAAUGUGUAAUUAACUGUGCUCGUCUUGACGGUACCGAAUCAGAAAGCCCCGGCUAACUCCGUG
rnacentral:rRNA from 1 species